CGCGGCGGGACGGCGGCGGCGGCGGCGGGGACGAGCGCCGGCCUGCAGGUCGCGGACCCUGACCGGAGGGAGGGCGGGGGCAGCGGUACGGGUCCACGUGGCGCGGCUGGGGCGCAGGGAGUCCUGGGGACGCACCAUCCCGGUUGGAGCCUCCGCUGGGCAAACACGCGCGGGGCCGCGGUAUUCGACUCAGCAUGAGCAAAGUGCCCUGCAAAAAACGUGAUGACUAUUUGGAGUGGCCUGAGUAUUUCAUGGCAGUGGCCUUCCUGUCAGCACAGAGGAGCAAAGAUCCAAAUUCCCAGGUCGGAGCCUGCAUCGUGAAUGCAGAAAAUAAGAUUGUGGGCAUCGGGUACAAUGGAAUGCCCAAUGGGUGCAGUGAUGACCUCUUGCCUUGGAGGAGGACAGCAGAGAACAUCCUGGACACCAAAUACCCUUACGAAUUCUAAUUUCUCCGAUGUCACCUCAGCAUCCCUCCCCUGCCCAGCCAUCCAGUAGCUGUGGCCUGACGAGCACAGAGUGCCUCAUCCUGUUCUUCAUCCUGAAUUCCUCUCAGGGGUUGGUCGGUCAGCAGUGCCUAAUUACUUGACCUUGUAGAACAGAAUGGUGGGCAACAUUCUUUGUUUUACAGCCUCACCCCUCCUGGAAGAAGUGUGCCACGCCGAGCUGAAUGCCAUCAUGAACAAAAACUCGGCGGACGUGAAAGGCUGUACCAUGUAUGUCGCCUUGUUCCCGUGUAAUGAAUGUGCUAAGCUCAUCAUCCAGGCAGGGAUAAAAGAAGUUAUUUUCAUGUCUGAUAAAUACCACGAUAGCAAUGAGACAACAGCGGCGAGGCUCAUGUUUGAAAUGGCCGGGGUUUCCUUCAGGAAAUUCACACCAAAGUGCAGCCAGAUUGUCAUUGACUUUGAUUCAAUUAACAGCAGAGCGAGUGAGACACUCCAGUGAGUGACACGUCAUUGCAUCUCCAGAUCGGGAUUAUCCUCUUCUAAGAAGCUCUAAUGCCUUUCAUCUGGAAGUUAUACAGAACUUUUUAAUAGCCAGGGCAGCACACGUCCACAUCUGAAGAACAUAAGACCUCCAAUCUUCCCGACUCUCUCCCGUCACCUAGAAUCAGCAUCUGUUGAAAUUACUGAUCGAGGGUUUCAAAGAAAGGAGCUGUGGAUGACCUGUCUCGAAGGUUUGGAGCGGGCGCCUUCCCUCCUGUCCCCUGGUUUGCUGGGAUACUUGUGGCUCUGCAGAAGGGCGUCAGCUGUGUGUCGUGCACUGCGUUUCACAGCUGCUCUUCAACACUCCCUGUGCUGGAAGGACUGAUGAAUCAUUGCAGUUGUGUUCCUAGCUGGAUGAGCAGACACCCCAGUCCAAACAUCUGGCUCAAGUGAAGCAUAACGUGUGAUGCCUUUGGGAGAAAAAAGGGAUCCAUAAGGCAUUAGCAUUUAAGCAUUUGCUUUAGGGAGUUGAGGGAACCAACACCCAACCACCUGAAACACCUGGAUGGGGGGGGCCACAUCUGUCCCGACAGACAAUGAGCAUAACUGAGCCUGCGAUUCUUUCUCCACUUCUGUUGACCUGCUACCCACAGGGUAGUGGCACGGUAUCCCUCUGGGUCUGGAGACCUCCAUUGUUUUAUUUUUUGGCUGCCCCUGUGGCAUGCGGAAGUUUUUGGGCCAGAGAUUGAAUCCAUGCCACAGCAGUGACCUGAGCCCCCAGCAGUGACAACACCGGACUGCUGACUCACUGAGCCACCAGGGAACUCCCAGACCCCUGUUCUUCUCAUCUUUGGUUUGUUGGUGGCACAGACCUGUUACAUUAGUUUUUCUGGAUAAUGAGUAGUUCCCAGAGGAGGCAGCCUGUCUCCUGGUGUCACCCCAGGACCAUGUCCUUCCAUGGAGCGGGUGGUAUGGGUAGGGGCUGAGCACGCACCUGCUGUUCCACUGACCAGUAGUGCAGUAGUGUUCAUUUUCAAGGCUGCUCUAGCCUAUCCUAAAGUGAAACGGGAGAGAGCUCAACCCAUCUCCAGGCGUUUCUUCCAGAUCUGUGUGUGAUGGGAGCUUGCUUGUCCUCCUGGCCCCCUGCCGUCCUCAACACAAAUCUCACCCUCCUAAUCACUGCAAUUUGGGGAAUGGGUAGCCGGGCACCUUGUCUUUAAUCUCAUUUAGUUUUUAUUAGACGUGCUCAGUACUUUUGUUGAGAAAAUGGUUUCUUUAUCCUAAAGAUUAUGACUGUUUAAAGUGCUCUUACAUUUUUAUGAGUUUUUAUUUUGUCUCUGAGGUUUUGUACUCCAUGUUCUGGGGUAUUCGUAAUUUGGCUCCUGACCACAGUUAUUAAAAUCUUAUUAAAAUCCA